rnacentral:misc_RNA from 1 species
GAAAUGCGAUAAGUAAUGUGAAUUGCAGAAUUCAGUGAAUCAUCGAAUCUUUGAACGCACCUUGCGCUCCUUGGUAUUCCUUGGAGCAUGCCUGUUUGAGUAUCAUGAAAUCUUCAAAGUAAAUCUUUUGUUAACUCAAUUGGUUUCUACUUUGGUAUUGGAGGUCUUUGCAGCUUCACACCUGCUCCUCUUUGUUCAUUAGCUGGAUCUCAGUGUUAUGCUUGGUUCCACUCGGCGUGAUAAGUUAUCUAUCGCUGAGGACACUGUAAAAGGUGGCAAAGGUAAAUGCAGAUGAACCGCUUCUAAUAGUCCAUUGACUUGGACAAUACUUUUAUGAUCUGAUCUCAAAUCAGGUAGGACUACCCUCUGAACUUAAGC